AAAGGGAAAAGUGCACGGGGGCUAAAAUGCUACACCUAUGUGUAGACAAAGAAGAGAAGCACAGCAGCAGAAACAUAAAAAGCAGAAACACAAAAAGAACAGCUCCUAGGAUGAUGGGAAAAGAAAGUCUGUAAGUAUUAUAACAAAAGGUAAAAAGAAGAGAUGAUGAAAGGCAAAAAAGGAGCUACAAAUGUGGGGGCCAGAGUUAGGAGCAAAUAACCUACUUUCUCCUGGAAUUGGAAAUUAAGGUUUUCUGUAUACUUGAAGCUCACCCUGCCAAACACAAAUGUAUUAUUAUAUUUUAUUUUAAACUACUUCUAUUUAGAAACAAAUGUAAAAGUCUGCUGUUUCACUCUAUGCCAAACACAGUCUAAAACUAUGCUUCUGGAAUUCUCCAAUUCUGCCUUAAGAAGGGAGCUGUCACUUCUCAGAGCUUCCCAUUAUGACUUCCCUCACUUGGGCUUUGAGGACUUUCUGCCUGUUUCAUUAACAGUCCUCUGGGUGAAGUGGUCCUACAGGGUGGCCCUCUGACAUGAAGAAUGUAGAAUGAAGAGCUACUAAUCACCUCUCAGUGGCUUUUCUGCUUCCUUCCAGGUCUCCUGCUUCAUUCUACAUGGCUCUAAAAUUCUGAUAUCGAAAUAGAAUUCUACAAUAAAGUUAUCUUUAAUAACAUAGAUUCUUCCUGCCACUUAUUUAAGAGCAGUAAAAUAAAUCUUGUUCCUCACAGCCUUUAUGUU
rnacentral:lncRNA from 1 species